rnacentral:rRNA from 1 species
AGUGAACGCUGGCGGUAGGCCUAACACAUGCAAGUCGAACGGCAGCACAGUAAGAGCUUGCUCUUACGGGUGGCGAGUGGCGGACGGGUGAGGAAUACAUCGGAAUCUACUUUUUCGUGGGGGAUAACGUAGGGAAACUUACGCUAAUACCGCAUACGACCUACGGGUGAAAGCAGGGGAUCUUCGGACCUUGCGCGAUUGAAUGAGCCGAUGUCGGAUUAGCUAGUUGGCGGGGUAAAGGCCCACCAAGGCGACGAUCCGUAGCUGGUCUGAGAGGAUGAUCAGCCACACUGGAACUGAGACACGGUCCAGACUCCUACGGGAGGCAGCAGUGGGGAAUAUUGGACAAUGGGCGAAAGCCUGAUCCAGCCAUACCGCGUGGGUGAAGAAGGCCUUCGGGUUGUAAAGCCCUUUUGUUGGGAAAGAAAAGCAGCAGGUUAAUACCCCGCUGUUCUGACGGUACCCAAAGAAUAAACACCGGCUAACUUCGU